rnacentral:rRNA from 1 species
UCGGGAAUAUUGCGCAAUGGAGGAAACUCUGACGCAGUGACGCCGCGUGCAGGAAGAAGGUUUUCGGAUUGUAAACUGCUUUAGACAGGGAAGAAACAAGACAGUACCUGUAGAAUAAGCUCCGGCUAACUACGUGCCAGCAGUCCGCGGUAAUCACAUACU